AACCGUAUUUUAACCCUGGGAUUCAGGUCGGACCUCCUUAAUCAGCACACCGUGGCAUCCAUCACUGCUGAGGAAUAGAGAUACAGAGCUGUGAAACCCUGUCUGCAGAUGAAGAGCAAUGGUUCCCAGUCCUGUUCCUGGGGUCUCAAAGGGGUAUGUUUUGAUGUGAGAGAGUAUGCCAACCGUCAGAACCAUCAUCGCCACCUCACCCGCUGUUACGAUAACCUUCAGGCCAAUUUGGUGCCCAAGGCUGGUUAGGAGACUUAUGUAAAACAUUUCACAUUCUCUACUGGUUGAAGUCUCUCAUUUGAUGAAAUACCACACCUAUCCUGUCCUCAGAUCAGUGCAGAUGAAGGAAAUGCGAUAGAUGAACCUAUUUACAUGAUGCAUAGGAAGUGUAAUGUACUGUAUAUAUGAAUUACAAAUCAGCCCUUUAACUAGUUAAAUCAUGUUUCUAGUCUAUUGGUUACUAUGUGUAACCAUUGAUAUCCCAGGACCAAGAUUGGUAAACACUGUUGAAGUGUAUAAUUGUAAUACAUACAUGCAGACACAGCACCAUUCAAAGAAUGCCGUUUGAUAUUCCAGGUAUUGGAUAUGACUGAAAAAGAAUCUCACAGACAUUCAUACCUGAACCGCACCUUUAUUUACCAAGGUAGAGUACAUGAUUAGUGAAUAUAUUAAAUGUACAGGCUACAAUGUGGGGAUCUCAUGCUACAUGUAUAUACGACUUGCAUCCUUGGCACAAAUUAUAUUCUACUCUACUCAA